UAUUUUUUAUUAUAUAAUGUAUAAAGAUUUUUGAAAUCUUAGGAAAUAGUUAAAUUCUAUUAAAAAUAA
rnacentral:tRNA from 1 species